CUGACAGCCAUGGGCCUAAUGCUGGAGACGACUGAAGAGAGGUCAGCACUGGAACCCCGACCACCGGAGGAACUACAGCUGAGGAACACAAACAAACACACAGAGGGAUGAACACAUUUCAUCAAGGUAGACUGUUCCGUUCCCAGUCUCCAGGCUCACAAGAAGAGUAUGGGUGGAGAAAAAGAAUAACAUGGAUGAGCAGCUGGAUUAAAAUGUUGUUCUUCCUGCUGUGACCCACCUUUGGUUCGGACCUGCUGAUGCAAGAGGC